GGGGUUGUAGCUCAAUGGAAGAGCAGGAGUCUUCCAGACUCCAGGCUGGGGGUUCAAGUCCUCCCAAUCUCCACA
rnacentral:tRNA from 1 species